GGAAAUUUGUGUUAUAUAAGUUGAUUUCUCAAGGAGGUGGGCAAAUGUAGGGAAACUUUGAGUUCAUUUACACAGAGAGAGCGCGCGCAUAUUCUUUUUAAAAUUAUCGCUUCUGUUAAUAAAGAGUGAUCGAUCGUAUUCACAUAAAAGCGAGAUGAGUAAGACCAGAAAAGAGAGCGGGGGCUCAUCGUUCUUCUUCACAUCAUUGGCUUCGUGCUUCGGUAUUUUCAAAACGGGCAAAAGUGAAAGUGAAAAGACCUUGAAAGAUGGCCCGGAGGCGACCAUGGUUGCUGCUGGAAAGCAUUUCUCUACGGCUCAUAAAGUGAGGUUGAUUUAGCUGCUCGAUUAAGGCUUCGUUUGGAAGUUAAAAGAGGAUUUUACUUCCACAAAGUCUAAUAACCCUAUUAUGCUGUGUUGUAAUAUGGGGAUAUGGGAUAAAUUUUUUGCCUCAUGAUUUGAUACUUUUACUGACGGAUUGUGUAUAUAAUUUAUUGUACCAUAAACCCUUUAUAAUUAAAACAAUUUGCAAUCCCUGGAGUAAAUUGAUACAGCUACCGUGUGAAACAGGGUAAAUAUUUGUAUAGCUGAAGAAGUUUUUGUGUAAAAUCUUAACCAAUCCCUUCAAUAUCUUCAUUUCUUGAAUAACAAGGAAGUAUAUAUUGCCAGAGUUAAUUAG
rnacentral:lncRNA from 1 species